rnacentral:tRNA from 1 species
GAGGGUAUAGCUCAGUAGUAGAGCGUGUGCUUAGUAUGCACAAAGGUUCAAUUCCCAGUAACUCCA